rnacentral:rRNA from 1 species
GCUCCUACCGAUUGAAUGGUCUGGUGAAGUGUUCGAAUUGCAGCGACGUGGACGGUUUGCUGUCGGCGACGUUGUGAGAAGUCCACUGAACCUUAUCAUUUUGAGGAAGGAGAAGUCGUAACAAGGUUUCUUUAGGUGAACCUGGGGAAGGAUCAUUGUCAAAGCCUCACAAGCAGUGUGACCCCGUGAAUUUGUUUUACUCCUUAGGGGUAGCUACGACUUGGGGCAUGGAUAGACGCGAAUUGUGAUGGUAGCCCAAGCCUGGGAUGUUGACAUGCUCGUGAAGACGUCAUCAUCGCGAUUGUGUUUGAAGCGCACGCCAUUUGGUGUUCUUAAGUACCUGCUCGCUCCAGGAGUAGGCCUGCGGGCUCCCCAUUCGGCCCAUCUUUAAACAUGGACCAAGGAGUCUGACAAGUGUGCAAGUCAGUGGGCAAGUAAACCCGUAAGGCGAAUGAAGUUGAUUGGUGGGAUCCCCUUGUGGGUUGCACCGCCGAUCGACCCUGAUCUUCUAUGAUGGGUUCGAGUGAGAGCAUACCUAUCAGGACCCGAAAGAUGGUGAACUAUGCUUGAGCAGGGUGAAGCCAGAGGAAACUCUAGUGGAGUCCCACAGCGAUACUGACGUGCAUAUCAUUCGUCUAACUUGGGUAUAGGGGCGAAAGACUAAUCGAACCGUCUAGUAGUUGGUUCCCUCUGAAGUUUCCCUCAGGAUAGGUGGAGCCCAUGGGUGAGUUCUAUCAGGUAAAGCCAGUGAUUAGAGGCAUCAGGGGCCCAAUGACCUCGACCUAUUCUCAAACUUUAAAUAGGUAGGAUGGUGUGGCUUCUUUGUUGAGCCACGCCACAGAAUCAAGAGCUCCAAGUGGGCCAUUUUAGGUAAGCAGAACUGGCGAUGCGGGAUGAACUGGAAGCUGGGUUAUGGUGCCCCACUGCGCUAACCUAGACCCCACAAAGGGUGUUGGUCUAUUUAGAGAGUAGGACGGUGGUCGUGGAAGUCGAAAUCCGCUAAGGAGUGUGUAACAACUCACCUGUCGAAUCAACUAGCCACGAAAAUGGAUGGUGCUAAAGCGCACGACCUCUACCCAGUCGUCGGGGCAAGGGCCAAGCCUCGAUGAGUAGGAGGGAGCAGUAGUCGCUGCAAAACCUCGGGUGUGAGCCCGGGUGGAGCGGUCGUCGGUGUAGAUCUUGGUGGUAGUAGCAAAUACUCAAAUGAGAAAUUUGAAGGCCGAAGAGGGGAAAGGUUCCAUGUGAACGGCACUUGCACAUGGGUUAGUCGAUCCUAAGGGAUGGGGGAAGCCCAUCUGCUAGCACUCUAAGCGCACACUCUGAAAGGGAAUUGGGUUACAAUUCCUGAACUGGGACAUGGCGGUUGACGAUAACAUCAGAAAGUCUAGAGGCGUCGGCGGGGGGCCCGGAAAGAUUUAUCUUUUCUGUUUAACAGCUUGCCCACCCAGGAAACGGCUCAGCUGGAGGUAGGGUCCAGCGGUUGGAAGAGCACCGCACGUCGCGUGGUGUCUAGUGUGCCCUAGUCGGCCCGUGAAUAUCUAGAGGACCGAGUGCCUCCCAAGCCCGGUCGUACUCAUAACUACAUCAGGUCUCCAAGGUGAACAACCUCUAGUCGAUGGAACAACGUAAGCAAGGGAUGUCGACAAAACGGAUCCGUAACCUUGGGAAUAGGAUUGGCUCUGAGGGCUGGGAACGAGGGUCCCAGUCCCGAACCUGUCGGUGGACUGCUCGAGCUGUUCGUGCUGCGAGACUGGGUCGCCACAUGCCUGUCGGGGGAUGGAUUGGGAACGGGACCUUUGGGGCCUCUUUCCCAAGCAUCGCACAGUCGACUUAGAACUAGUACGGACAAGGGGAAUCUAGCUAUUUAAUUAAAACAAAGCAUUGCGAUGGUCCCUGCGGAUGUUGACGCAAUGUGAUUUCUGCCAGUUCUCUGAAUGUCAAAGUAAAGAAAUUCAACCAAGCGCGGGUAAACGGCUAGAGUAACUAUGACUCUCUUAAGGUAGUCAAAUGCCUCAUCAUCUAAUUAGUGACGUGCAUGAAUGGAUUAAUGAGAUUCGCAUUGUCCCUGUCUAUUAUCUAACGAAACCACAGCCAAGGGAACGAGCUUGGUAGAAUCAGUGGGGAAAGAAGACCAUGUUGAGCUUAACUCUAGUCCGACUUUGUGAAAUGACUUGAGAGGUGUAGGAUAAGUGGGAGCUAGAAACAACGGAAGUGAAAUACCACUAUGUUUAACGUUAUUUUACUUUUCCGUGAAUCAAAGGCAGGGCGCAACCCCUGUUGUUGGACCCAAGGUCGGCCUCGGUCGAUCGAUCCAAGCAUAAGACAUUGUCAGGUGGGGAGUUUGGUUGGGGUCGCACAUCUGUUAAAACAUAACGCAUUUGUCCUAAGAUGAGCUCAACUUCAAUAGAAAUUUCGUGUGGAACAAAAGGGUAAAAGCUCAUUUGAUUCUGAUUUCUAGUACAAAUACGAAUCGUGAAAGCGUGGCCUAUCGAUCCUUUAGUCCUUUAGAAUUUGAAGCUAGUGGUGUCAGAAAAGUCACCACAAGGUUAACUGGCAUGUGGUAGCCAAGCGUUCAUAGGAUGUUGCUUUUUUAUCCUUCGAUGUCGGCUCUUCCUAUCAUUGUGAAGCAGAAUUCACCAAGUGUUUGAUUGUUCACCCACCAAUAGGGAACGUGAGCUAGGUUUAGACCAUCGUGACACAUGUUAGUUUUACACUACUGAUGACAGUGUUGCAAUAGUAACUCAACCUAGUACGAGAGGAACUGUUGAUUCGCACACUUUGCGAUCGCGCUUGGUUGAAAAGUCAGUGGCGCGAAGCUGCCGCGCGUUGGAUUAUGACUGAGUGCCUCUAAGUGAGAAUCCAAGCUAGAAGCAAUGUGUGUGCCCGCCGCCAAAGGCACGUGCCGUUGGUGACCCCCAUGGGGUGGACGAGCCUCACGGGAUGCUUUGAAGCGAUAUUCCCUACUGGGUGGCGGGUAGAA